ACUGCCUGAUGGAGGGGGAUAACUACUGGAAACGGUAGCUAAUACCGCAUAAUGUCGCAAGACCAAAGAGGGGGACCUUCGGGCCUCUUGCCAUCGGAUGUGCCCAGAUGGGAUUAGCUUGUUGGUGGGGUAACGGCUCACCAAGGCGACGAUCCCUAGCUGGUCUGAGAGGAUGACCAGCCACACUGGAACUGAGACACGGUCCAGACUCCUACGGGAG
rnacentral:rRNA from 1 species